UUCAGUUAUUUUCUUCCUCCAAGUUCAUAUCGAAACUGCUCCAUCUUCUUCUUCAGUCCACCACCACCACCAUCACCAUCCACAAAUAUUGGUAUUGAUUAUUAUCUCGAACCUGUGAGUGACGCAUAGAUUUAAACAAGAAAAUAGUGACAUAUAUGUUUCUGAAGAUGAUUGAUUUCAAGGGUUUGAUGGAUCUGAAGUUGAAUUAAGAACAGAAAGGGGACUUGGUGCUGAUUCAAGUGGUUUGAAUGAUGCUGAUAUCGAAUUGAAGAAAGAGGAAAGAGGGAAUUGCUGAUUGUUAAAAGAAAUUAGGGUUUGAGUUGUGAUGAUUCUGUAAUCGAGACAGAGAUGGAGAUCGAGAACAUGAGUUGAAGUUCUGAGAUGAAAGAAUAAUUGGGUCUGUGAAAAUGAAUUUGGUGGUGAGCUAGAUCAAGUGAAGAUUGAGAUGUUACAGGAAAGAUGGAGACUAGAAGGAAGAGAAGAUGAACUGUUGGUCUUGGUAACUGGUUAUGCAGUUGAGAGUUAACAGGCGGAAUUGGUACUGGUGGUAUAGAAACAGAACUGAAAUGGUUAAUUGAGUGUGAAAUGGCAAUGAGAUUCUAGCUGCUGGUGAUAACUGAGCAGAUACAGGCAAGUAUGGUUAUUUGCAGUCGAGUUGAAGCUGAGAAUAAAUGGUUAUGGAGCUACAGAGUAAUUGACUGAGAAGGUGUUGGUCCAUAUGCAUUCUCAGAAUUACAAGGAAUUUGGCCUUGUCCUGAAAAUUCAGUAAAUGGGCAUCUGUGAGAUGAACUGUAUGUGCUCACUGGAAGGAACUUUGAAGGAAUUCCCAUGCUUUUGUUUUGGCAUUAUUAUGGAAUACAAUAUUAACGCCAAAAUGUAGUUUCUUUUGUAAAAACGAAUGCAGUAUUUACUGGCUUUAUUUUGUUCUUGAAUUUUCAGUACACCAGUAACCUAUCAAGGUUUCAGGACAAUUGUUACAUCUGUAUCAUGUUCAUAGUGCUUUUAUGAGCUAUUGAACCAUCUACUUAGUUGUAUUUACUUCGCCUGAGCAGAGCAUUUCAAGAAUGGAUACAUCUCCGAGAGUACGCUAUUAUGGGAUGAAGGAAGAGUCGAAUGACUGCCGUUGUCAUCGAUCCCUGACUGUUCACAGGAAUAUCUUCUAUUACAGCGACUUCUGACAAUGAUGAUGAGUUCGCCAAAUGGCAAGAGGAGAUUAAGAAAGCGGAACUCGAAGCUGAGGCUUUGAAGCAUGGCUCAAAAUUAAAUGAUGUUGGUGGGUCAGAUCACUUGAAAUACUUGGAGGGGGGUGUUGAGGAAAGGCCUUCCACACCACCUGAUGGCGAGGGAGAAUUCACUGAUGAUGAUGGAACUGUGUACAAGUGGGGCAGAGGUCUUAGAGCAUGGGUUCCCCAAGCUUUUGCCGAUGAGAUGGAUAUACUAUCGGUUCAAGAAAUGGCAUUACUACCUCCUGAGAACUGUCGAAGAAGAAAGCACAAAAAGCAAAUAAUAUGUGGUGGCGUCUGAGUGGUGUUCUAGGUGAUCAUAUCCUGUUCCAAGCUGCAUUCACAGUUGCCACAAUGGCUUUAACUGUGCCAAUAUUUCUGUCUUACGAAUUCCAUAUAAGUUUGUGGAGUGUCAUGUCUCUUGGGAUACGUUUCGAUACGUUUCGAAUUUUUGUUGAAAGGUUUCACUAGUGAAAACAACUCUACAUAAUUUAGUGUAACUAACUAAAUAUAAUUUGUAUUCGUAUUUGAGGAAGGAUCUCUUCACACUAUUAUUUUCACAA